CGUGUAGGCGGAUUUGCAAGUCAAAUGUGAAAACCGGCGGCUUAACCUCCGGCCUGCAUUUGAUACUGCUGAUCUUGAGUACGGAAGAGGAGAGUGGAAUUCCAGGUGUAGCGGUGACAUGCGUAGAUAUCUGGAAGAACACCAGUGGCGAAGGCGGCUCUCUGGACCAAUACUGACGCUGAGGCGCGAAAGCGUGGGGAGCAAACA
rnacentral:rRNA from 1 species